UGAGCGAAGAAGGCCUUCGGGUCGUAAAGCUCUUUUCUAGGUGACGAGCAAGGACGGUAGCCUAGGAAUAAGUCUCGGCUAACUACGUGCCAGCAGCCGCGGUAAAACGUAGGAGGCAAGCGUUAUCCGGAGUUACUGGGCGUAAAGCGCAUGUAGGCGGUUCGACAAGUUGGUUGUGAAAGCGCCCGGCUAAACUGGGCGAGGCCGACCAAGACUGUCGGGCUAGAGAGUGCCAGAGGGGCGCAGAAUUCGGGGUGUAGCGGUGAAAUGUGUAGAGAUCCCGAGGAAUACCAGUGGGGAAGCCGGCGCCCUGGGGCAUAUCUGACGCUGAGAUGCGAAAGCGUGGGGAGCGAACGGGAUUAGAGACCCCGGUAGUCCACGCCGUAAACGA
rnacentral:rRNA from 1 species